UACGAAGGGGGCUAGCGUUGCUCGGAAUCACUGGGCGUAAAGCGCACGUAGGCGGAUUGUUAAGUCAGGGGUGAAAUCCUGGAGCUCAACUCCAGAACUGCCUUUGAUACUGGCGAUCUUGAGUUCGGGAGAGGUUAGUGGAACUGCGAGUGUAGAGGUGAAAUUCGUAGAUAUUCGCAAGAACACCAGUGGCGAAGGCGGCUGACUGGUCCGGUUCUGACGCUGAGGCGCGAAAGCGUGGGGAGCAAACAGG
rnacentral:rRNA from 1 species